UUGGAGGGCAAGUCUGGUGCCAGCAGCCGCGGUAAUUCCAGCUCCAAUAGCGUAUAUUAAAGUUGUUGCAGUUAAAAAGCUCGUAGUUGAAUUUCGGGAUCAAUAUGCUGGUCGUGCCUUUGGUACGUACUGGUAUUAUUGGUUUCUCCUUUCUGAUGAAUCACGAUGUCAUUAAUUUGGUGUCAUGGGGAAUCAGGACUGUUACUUUGAAAAAAUUAGAGUGUUUAAAGCAGGCUUACGCUUGAAUACAUUAGCAUGGAGUAAUGAAAUAGGACGUUUAAUUCUAUUUUGUUGGUUUCUAGGAUUGACGUAAUGAUUAAUAGGGAUAGUUGGGGGCAUUAGUAUUCAAUUGCCAGAGGUGAAAUUCUUGGAUUUAUUGAAGACUAACUACUGCGAAAGCAUUUGCCAAGGAUGUUUUCAUUAAUCAAGAACGAAAGUUAGGGGAUCGAAGACGAUCAGAUACCGCCGUAGUCUUAACCAUAAACUAUGCCGACUAGGGAUCGGAUGAUGUUAAUUUUUUAAUGACUCGUUCGGCGCCUUACGGGAAAC
rnacentral:rRNA from 1 species